rnacentral:lncRNA from 1 species
AUCAUGGCAAUCGGAAUCGGAUCCAAGAAGCUUGAACAUCAUCCGGGACACUUUGUGGGCUCUAUUUAGAUGAUCAGUCAACACAAGGGAAAGACUUGAGUUACUUCCAACAGGGGUCUAUUCGUCAGUCAAAACGGUAAUCUUGAAGGAGCAAAGAUUUGUUCAUGAGCUGUCAUGCUCGCUAGGCGAAGCCCACGUGUUUUGAGAAAAAAAAAACAAAAAAAAACGAAAAAAAAAACAAAAUAAAUAAAUAAAUAAAAUGGAAAACGAAAAAAAAAGAAAAGUAAAUAAAUAAAUAAAAGAAAAAAUCUUGGACUUGGACCUCUCUCAUUUGAGCCAACAGGUCCACAAAAAUCAGGUUAUAAAUUCAGAGUUUCAGUGAAACAAAAGGCCAUUCUAUUCCUAUUACCCUGUCUGGGAAAAAGAUAGUGAGAGAAGAACCCUGGGGAAAAAGAUAGUGAGAGAAGAGCUAACAGAGUUCAG